rnacentral:lncRNA from 1 species
GAGCACUCUCAUGACUCGUCCUUCCCAGUUAGCCCAGGUUGGACCUUCGCUGUCAUUUGUUGGCUUGUGAAUUUCUCUGACUUUCUAACGUUCAAGCAGAGUCUGUCUAAAGACUGACAUCUUUCAUUGUGGAUUAUUCAGAGAGAAAAUGUACGGUUGACAUUAAGGUGUCGACGAUUUUAAAGGCUCCUUGGAAACCUGGCCUGCACCUCGCUUACAGGGGUCCCAGCCCUGCAGGUGAGGAAGGAAGAUCACUCUCUGGCAGGCCCAGGAAACUCAGGUUACUUUGGGGAGCUCACGAAGAGAUGAAUUCACGCAACUCUAUAUGUAUUACAGGCAAGGUCUGAUGGUGAGUCCUUGCUUGACAUCCUAGCUGUGAGAGGCUUUUAAAGGUUCAAUCUAACAUUUUUUAUAAAAAGUCCCAGCAACACAAACUCAAAAAAGAGCCU